rnacentral:hammerhead_ribozyme from 1 species
AUCCAUCUGACGAGUCCCGAAUAGGACGAAAUGCGCGUCCUGGAU